GAUGAAGAACGUAGCUAAAUGCGAUAAGUAAUGUGAAUUGCAGAAUUCAGUGAAUCAUCGAAUCUUUGAACGCACAUUGCGCCCGCCAGCAUUCUGGCGGGCAUGCCUGUUCGAGCGUCAUUUCAACCCUCGCAGCCCAUCUGGGCAGCGGUGUUGGGGACCGGCACCACCGGCGAAGCCCUUAGGGGCCCAGCCGGCGCCGCCCCCGAAAUACAGUGGCGGUCUCGCUGCAGCCUCCCUUGCGUAGUAGCACACCUCGCACCGGAGCGCAGCGCGGCCACGCCGUAAAACCCCCGACUUUCUGAGUUUGACCUCGAAUCAGGUAGGAAUACCCGCUGAACUUAAGCAUAUCAAUAAGCGGAGGA
rnacentral:misc_RNA from 1 species